rnacentral:rRNA from 1 species
AUGGUUGGUGCACUACAGUACUUAACUCUGACUAGACCUAAUAUCUCUUUUGCUGUCAAUAAAGUAUGCCAAUUUCUUCAUGCACCCACUACAGUACAUUUGACAGCUGCAAAACGCAUACUUAGAUAUGUUAAAGAUACCUUGAGCCUUGGAUUAACAUUCAGCAAGUCAUCAUCAACUCUUGUCAGUGCAUUCUCUGAUUCUGACUGGGCAGGUUGUCUGGAUGAUAGGCGCUCAACAGGUGGUUUUGCAGUCUUCUUUGGUCCUAACUUAAUCUCUUGGUGUGCAAAGAAACAAGUUACUGUAUCCAGGUCUAGUACAGAAGCAGAAUAUAAAAGCGUUAGCUAA